rnacentral:rRNA from 1 species
AUUGAACGCUGGCGGCAUGCCUAACACAUGCAAGUCGAACGAGUGGCGGACGGGUGAGUAAUGUCUGGGAAACUGCCCGAUGGAGGGGGAUAACUACUGGAAACGGUAGCUAAUACCGCAUACCAUCGGAUUAUCCCAGAUGGGAUUAGCUAGUAGGUGGGGUAACGGCUAACCUAGGCGACGAUCCCUAGCUGGUCUGAGAGGAUGACCAGCCACACUGGAACUGAGACACGGUCCAGACUCCUACGGGAGGCAGCAGUGGGGAAUCUUGCACAAUGGGCGAAAGCCUGAUGCAGCCAUGCCGCGUGUAUGAAGAAGGCCUUCGGGUUGUAAAGUACUUUCAGCAGGGAAGCGUUACCGGAAGAAGAAGCCACGGCUAACUACGUGCCAGCAGCCGCGGUAAUUC